rnacentral:rRNA from 1 species
CUACGGGCGGCUCCAGUGAGGAAUAUUGCACAAUGGAGGAAACUCUGAUGCAGCAACGCCGCGUGGAGGAUGACGCAUUUCGGUGUGUAAACUCCUUUUAUAUGUCAAGAAAAUGACGGUAGCAUAUGAAUAAGCACCGGCUAACUCCGUGCCAGCAGCCGCGGUAAUACGGAGGGUGCAAGCGUUACUCGGAAUCACUGGGCGUAAAGGACGCGUAGGCGGGAUAUCAAGUCAGGUGUGAAAUCCUACAGCUUAACUGUAGAACUGCACUUGAAACUGGUAACCUAGAGUAUGGGAGGGGGAGAUGGAAUUAGUGGUGUAGGGGUAAAAUCCGUAGAUAUCACUAGGAAUACCUAAAGCGAAGGCGAUCUCCUGGAACAUAACUGACGCUAAGGCGUGAAAGCGUGGGGAGCAAACAGGAUUAGAUACCCUUGUAGUC